rnacentral:rRNA from 1 species
UGAGUAACCUGCCCUUCACUCUGGGAUAACUCCGGGAAACCGGGGCUAAUACUGGAUAUGACCUACUCGGGCAUCCGAUGUGGGUGGAAAGAUUUAUUGGUGGGGGAUGGACUCGCGGCCUAUCAGCUUGUUGGUGAGGUAAUGGCUCACCAAGGCGACGAUGCGUAGCCGACCUGAGAGGGUGAUCGGCCACAUUGGAACUGAGACACGGUCCAGACUCCGUACGGGAGGNA